UGAAAACUGUAUAAAAGCUAAAAUUUUUCUUUUUUCAGUGCUCUUCCUUUGGACAGGAGUCUGUUGAGCCAGUAUUCACCUUCCAUAAACCCUCCUGAUUCCCAUUGGCCUCGUCUGUCUCUUGAAAUUCUACAACAGCUGUCUUGAGGACCAUGCAGGGUUGUCUGCCCAUUAGCCAUGGUGGCACUAUACUUUCAGGUGCCCAGGAACACCUGUGCCGGCAUCAUCAGCUUACAGCAUCACAGGAAGGACUCUCCAGUAGGAAAAGUACCAGAUCUGCCAUCAAAAGAAGAUGCCACACGUCACCCACAUCUGCUGACGUUGUAAGGAGAGUGAGGACAUUGCCUUCUUAAAGCCCGGAGACUGCUGUGACCCAGCCCUGCGUGGGAGCAUUGUGCCCCGCUAAG
rnacentral:lncRNA from 1 species